GGGGAUCGAAAGACCUUAUGCUUUUGGAGCGGCCGAUGUCUGAUUAGCUAGUUGGUAAGGUAAUGGCUUACCAAGGCAACGAUCAGUAGUUGGUCUGAGAGGACGACCAGCCACACUGGGACUGAGACACGGCCCAGACUCCUACGGGAGGCAGCAGUGGGGAAUUUUGGACAAUGGGCGCAAGCCUGAUCCAGCAAUGCCGCGUGAGUGAAGAAGGCCUUCGGGUUGUAAAGCUCUUUCAGUUGAGAAGAAAAGAUUGUAACUAAUAAUUGCAAUCCAUGACGGUAUCGACAGAAGAAGCACCGGCUAACUACGUGCCAGCAGCCGCGGUAAUACGUAGGGUGCGAGCGUUAAUCGGAAUUACUGGGCGUAAAGAGUGCGCAGGCGGUUCUGUAAGUCAGAUGUGAAAUCCCCGGGCUUAACCUGGGAACUGCGUUUGAA
rnacentral:rRNA from 1 species